CGGGCUUAUGAGAGGGAUUGUCGGGGGAGAAGGUCGGCCAAGUGAUUGUGGCAGGCGUGGAGGUGGCUGGGGCAAGGCGCAGUGGCGCUAUCGACUGGGCAAUGGGGGAAGGCGGUUGAGUAGGGCAAGGGUAGGGACAUGAGAGAUUGCCUGACGACAUCCAGCGGGUUAGCAUGGCAGCAAUGGAGACGGCAAGACGCUCAUGAAGAUGGACAGGAGGUAGUGGCCAAGCGGGGGAGCUCAGCUGAAGAUGAAGAAGACAAGGAGGAGGCACAUCCGAUGGGUUCAGGGCUGGGCUGUGGUU
rnacentral:lncRNA from 1 species